rnacentral:misc_RNA from 1 species
GAUGAAGAACGUAGCGAAAUGCGAUACUUGGUGUGAAUUGCAGAAUCCCGUGAACCAUCGAGUCUUUGAACGCAAGUUGCGCCCGAAGCCACUAGGCCGAGGGCACGCCUGCCUGGGCGUCACACGUCGUUGCCCCCCCAUCUACUCCUUCGGGAUUGCGGGGGCGGAUGAUGGCCUCCCGUGCGCCUCGCCGCGCGGUUGGCAUAAAUGCCAAGUCCUCGGCGACGCACGCCACGACAAUCGGUGGUUGCGAAACCUCGGUUGCCCGUCGUGUGCGGUCGUCGCGCAUCGAGGGCUCGAAAAAAUUGCCGGGUUCCGGCUCGGCUUUCAACGCGACCCCAGGUCAGGCGGGGUUACCCGCUGAAUUUAAGCAUAUCAAUAAGCGGAGGA